AUGCGCGGGAGCACGAGGGAGGACACACGCGGGGGCUCCAGGAGGAUGCGCGGGGGCUCCAGGAGGGAAGCGCGCGGCCUCGAGGAAGACGUGGCAGGAGAUUCCGGCGAAGCCCGCAGGCAGCGGGAGGAGACCACGGCGGCGCAGGUCUGGGCUGCGGCGGCAGAGGAGGUAAUUGGCGAAGGCGGCGAGAGCAGGUACUUGGCGACGGAGGAGGAGCUCAGCUGGGCUCGCCGGCCCCUGGCGAAUCACGCAGCUGGGCGGCGCCGGCCCCUGGCGACGCGCAGGCGACGGGCAGAGGAAGAAGAUGGGGCGGAGGACUUGUUUGAAACGCUUUUGAAACCAUGA
rnacentral:rRNA from 1 species